rnacentral:rRNA from 1 species
GCCAGCAGCCGCGGUAAUUCCAGCUCCAAUAGCGUAUAUUAAAGUUGUUGCAGUUAAAAAGCUCGUAGUUGAAUUUCGGGAUCAGUAUGUUGGUCGUGCUUCGGUACGUACUGUCAUUACUGGUUUCUCCCUUCUGAAGAACCUUGAUGUCAUUAAUUUGGUGUCUUGGGGAAUCAGGACUGUUACUUUGAAAAAAUUAGAGUGUUUAAAGCAGGCAUACGCUUGAAUACAUUAGCAUGGAAUAAUGAAAUAGGACGUUUGAUUCUAUUUUGUUGGUUUCUAGGAUCGACGUAAUGAUUAAUAGGGAUAGUUGGGGGCAUUAGUAUUCAAUUGUCAGAGGUGAAAUUCUUGGAUUUAUUGAAGACGAACUACUGCGAAAGCAUUUGCCAAGGAUGUUUUCAUUAAUCAAGAACGAAAGUUGGGGGAUCGAAGACGAUCAGAUACCGUCGUAGUCUUAACCAUAAACUAUGCCGACUAGGGAUCGGAUGAUGUUAUUUUUAAUGACUC